AUACACAUCUGCGAGCCCACGUGACCCGAGAGGAUCUCAGUGGCGGACGGGUGAGUAAUGCUUGGGAAUCUAGCUUAUGGAGGGGGAUAACUACGGGAAACUGUAGCUAAUACCGCGUACCAUCGGAUGAGCCCAAGUGGGAUUAGGUAGUUGGUGAGGUAAAGGCUCACCAAGCCGACGAUCUCUAGCUGGUCUGAGAGGAUGACAAGGAAUACUGGGACAGAGAAAGGGCCCAGACUCCGACGGGAGGAAGCAGUGGGGAAUAGUGCGUAAUGGGGGCAAUCUGACGCAGCCAUGCCGCGUGAAUGAAGAAGGCCUUCGGGUUGUAAAGUACUUUCGGUAGCGAGGCGUUAACGACAGAAGAAGCACCGGCUAACGCCGUGCCAGCCGCCGCGGUAAUAC
rnacentral:rRNA from 1 species